AUGAACGCUAGCUACAGGCUUAACACACGCAAGUCGAGGGGCAGCACGGUCUUAGCUCGCUAAGGCCGAAGGCGACCGGCGCACGGGUGAGUAACACGUAUCCAACCUGCCGUCUACUCUUGGACAGCCUUCUGAAAGGAAGAUUAAUACAAGAUGGCAUCAUGAGUCCGCAUGUUCACAUGAUUAAAGGUAUUCCGGUAGACGAUGGGGAUGCGUUCCAUUAGAUAGUAGGCGGGGUAACGGCCCACCUAGUCUUCGAUGGAUAGGGGUUCUGAGAGGAAGGUCCCCCACAUUGGAACUGAGACACGGUCCAAACUCCUACGGGAGGCAGCAGUGAGGAAUAUUGGUCAAUGGGCGAGAGCCUGAACCAGCCAAGUAGCGUGAAGGAUGACUGCCCUAUGGGUUGUAAACUUCUUUUAUAAAGGAAUAAAGUCGGGUAUGGAUACCCGUUUGCAUGUACUUUAUGAAUAAGGAUCGGCUAACUCCGUGCCAGCAGCCGCGGUAAUACGGAGGAUCCGAGCGUUAUCCGGAUUUAUUGGGUUUAAAGGGAGCGUAGAUGGAUGUUUAAGUCAGUUGUGAAAGUUUGCGGCUCAACCGUAAAAUUGCAGUUGAUACUGGAUAUCUUGAGUGCAGUUGAGGCAGGCGGAAUUCGUGGUGUAGCGGUGAAAUGCUUAGAUAUCACGAAGAACUCCGAUUGCGAAGGCAGCCUGCUAAGCUGCAACUGACAUUGAGGCUCGAAAGUGUGGGUAUCAAACAGGAUUAGAUACCCUGGUAGUCCACACGGUAAACGAUGAAUACUCGCUGUUUGCGAUAUACUGCAAGCGGCCAAGCGAAAGCGUUAAGUAUUCCACCUGGGGAGUACGCCGGCAACGGUGAAACUCAAAGGAAUUGACGGGGGCCCGCACAAGCGGAGGAACAUGUGGUUUAAUUCGAUGAUACGCGAGGAACCUUACCCGGGCUUAAAUUGCAGAUGAAUUACGGUGAAAGCCGUAAGCCGCAAGGCAUCUGUGAAGGUGCUGCAUGGUUGUCGUCAGCUCGUGCCGUGAGGUGUCGGCUUAAGUGCCAUAACGAGCGCAACCCUUGUUGUCAGUUACUAACAGGUUCCGCUGAGGACUCUGACAAGACUGCCAUCGUAAGAUGUGAGGAAGGUGGGGAUGACGUCAAAUCAGCACGGCCCUUACGUCCGGGGCUACACACGUGUUACAAUGGGGGGUACAGAGGGCCGCUACCACGCGAGUGGAUGCCAAUCCCCAAAACCUCUCUCAGUUCGGACUGGAGUCUGCAACCCGACUCCUCGAAGCUGGAUUCGCUAGUAAUCGCGCAUUCAGCCUCGGCGCGGUAAAUACGUUUCCCGGGCC
rnacentral:rRNA from 1 species